rnacentral:misc_RNA from 1 species
AGGUAGAGAAUUUAUUUGAAGAGCUUGUUUUAUAUUUGUUUGUAUCAGAAUUUAUAACCCAACAAGAUUGAUCAAGAUUGGCAAGCAUUACUUGAUUUGACAAAAUUGGUGGAGGCAACUGUGCUAGGUGGAGCUUCAAACUGUGACAACAAAUGUCUUUAGGGUCUGUGCUUCUUUAUUGGAAAAGUUCCUAUUGUUAGGUGUGCCCUUUUUCCCAACAGCCAUAUUUAACUA